rnacentral:misc_RNA from 1 species
GUUGGGUAUCAGAUCCACAUGACAUCAAACUUUGGAGAGCUCUUUUAUGGUUGGGUAUCAGAUGCUCAUGACUUGCCAAUCACGCAGAUGGUUGAUGCAAUAAGAGGUAAGAUAAUGGAGCUCAUUUAUACCCGGCGGACUGAAUCCAAUCAAUGGGUGACAAGGCUAACUCCAUUUAUGGAGGAAAAGCUAGAGAAAGAAAGCCUAAGAUUUAGUUCUAUUCAUGCGUUGAUGCCCAAUGGUACCAAAUUUGAGGUCCAGGGGGAUACCAUAGAAGUAGUUGACAUGGACAAUUGCGACUGUAGUUGCAGAGAUUGGGGGCUAACUGGCUUACCUUGUUGCCAUGCGAUAGCUGUCAUGGGUUGCCUUGGUCGUGAUCCAUACGACUAUUGUGCCAGGUACUUCACUGUCGAUAGUUAUAGAUCAACUUAUUCAGAGUCAAUACAUCCAAUUCCAAGCUUAGAAAAGCCCAAGAGAAAGGAUGCUUCUCAAGCUGCUGUAACAGUAACCCCUCCUCCCACCCGUCGUCCACCAGGGAGGCCAACGACGAAGAAGGUGGGUUCGAAUGAAGUAACUAAGCGUCAGCUCCAAUGUAGUAGAUGCAAGGGUACAGGCCACAAUAAGUCAACUUGCAAAGUGGUGUUACUGGAAAGCUAAGGUCUAGAGAUCAAUGGAAAAAGCAAUCUAGCUUUGGGAGGAAUAUAGCUUUUCUCGAUCAUUCUUCCAAUCUCUAUUGCUGAGUUCUAACUUAAGUUGCUGGAUAGUUAUUUAGUUGUUGGGCGAUAAUGUAAGCGACUCAUAAACGAGGAUAUUUGAUUCUCUGUUAGUCUGGAAUGACUCCCCGUUCCCUGUUCUUCUGUAAAUGUGGUGGAUUCUGCAUUCAGGCCGUCAUCUUUAGUGAUGAAAACCGUAAGUUAUGAUCUGUGAAACUUAAGAGCAGUCCUUCAACUGAUUGUCUUUUUGGUACCAUUUGUUCAAAUAGCAGAAUCAAACUAAUGCGCCGUAUCAAAAACCAACGAUCUAGUUGAUUUCCUUGAACUUAUUUCCCACCCAAAAGGAAAGAUUUCCUUUGGACUGUCCAGGCUGUUUGUUUCU